rnacentral:rRNA from 1 species
UACGUAGGGUGCAAGCGUUGUCCGGAAUUAUUGGGCGUAAAGGGCUCGUAGGCGGUCCAUCGCGUCGGGGGUGAAAUCCUGGGGCUCAACCUCAGAAUUGCCUCCGAUACUGGCAGUCUCGAGUGCGGGAGAGGUGAGUGGAAUUCCCAGUGUAGAGGUGAAAUUCGUAGAUAUUGGGAAGAACACCAGUGGCGAAGGCGGUUCUCUGGGACGGUACUGACGCUGAGACGCGAAAGCGUGGGGAGCGAACAGG